rnacentral:rRNA from 1 species
CGGACGGGUGAGUAACACGUGGAUAACCUACCUAUAAGACUGGGAUAACUUCGGGAAACCGGAGCUAAUACCGGAUAAUAUACUGAACCGCAUGGUUCAAUAGUGAAAGACGGUUUUGCUGUCACUUAUAGAUGGAUCCGCGCUGCAUUAGCUAGUUGGUAAGGUAACGGCUUACCAAGGCAACGAUGCGUAGCCGACCUGAGAGGGUGAUCGGCCACACUGGAACUGAGACACGGUCCAGACUCCUACGGGAGGCAGCAGCC